CAUAAUCUCGGAUGGUUCCGAGUGCAGGCUUCAAACCUGUAG
rnacentral:tRNA from 16 species